CCUACGGGUGGCAGCAGUGAGGAAUAUUGGUCAAUGGACGAGAGUCUGAACCAGCCAAGUAGCGUGAAGGAUGACUGCCCUAUGGGUUGUAAACUUCUUUUAUAUGGGAAUAAAAUGUUCCACGUGUGGGAUUUUGUAUGUACCAUAUGAAUAAGGAUCGGCUAACUCCGUGCCAGCAGCCGCGGUAAUACGGAGGAUCCGAGCGUUAUCCGGAUUUAUUGGGUUUAAAGGGGGCGUAGGUUGAAUGUUAAGUCAGUUGUGAAAGUUUGCGGCUUAACCGUAAAAUUGCAGUUGAAACUGGCAGUCUUGAGUACAGUAGAGGUGGGCGGAAUUCGUGGUGUAGCGGUGAAAUGCUUAGAUAUCACGAAGAACUCCGAUUGCGAAGGCAGUUCACUGGACUGCAACUGACACUGAGGCUCGAAAGUGUGGGUAUCAAACAGGAUUAGAUACCCGGGUAGUC
rnacentral:rRNA from 1 species